AUGCAGAAGAUCACGGCUGUGCCCUGUGGUGCUGUCAGCAGUGACAGAUCCCAGAUGGGGCCGCUACUGUAUGGCAGAUUGAGUUUCUCAGCAGAAAACUCACCCUCCCUGCUAAACGUCUUCAAAAACCUUCUCCAGAUACUCCAGGUCGCUUCGUGUGAAACUGAAAAAGUCCAACCCCAAAGUUGGUUUCGCGUGCGUGCCUGUAGGUUAGGCUCCCCCGCCCCUUCUUUUUUCUCUGCACUUCCUUCUCCUCUGAGCAUCUUCGGCCCGAAGGGCUACCCGGCUGCUAAGAGCGCAGACCCGGCGGGCCUGGUGGUUCCCGUUCUCCCGGCCCAGCGCCGCGCCGUCGACUCAGCACCAAGGGGCCCCGAAGGCAAUCCGGCUCUGGCCCUGAGGCCGCAACAAGUAAACUUCACCGAGUGAAAAUUUUAACAAACUCUCUUGAAAAGGCACGUCAUUUCCCCCACCCCUCUGUGGCCUGUGGUGAGUAAAUGCUUGGACCUUGGGCAGUUCGAAGAUUCGGUGGACCCACCGGAAACGUAAGAACUAAGAAAGCGAAGCAGCAGAGAGGAAGCGUCUCCAACGGCUGCUUUCACUCGCGGUCCCUGACCUCCGCCCGCAGGAGUGGGUGGCACGGAGCCCCACGCCGGGACGCCGCCUCCCACCAAGACCCCGCUGAUCCGCGCGCGGGCGUGCACACCUUCUGCCUCUCUCUCAUCUGCUGGUGCAUUUAAGACCUAAUGAAAGUACAUCCUUUAGGGAAAAGACUGUCUAUAAAACGUGAAAUAUAAAGAACCCGUUUGGAUAUUCCCACUGCCGGCCAGACCUGAGAUUGAAGGGUUUUUUUUAGCACGAAUACCUUGACUUCUUUUGCUGCUUCCAUAAUCACUCUGCUAUUUUUAACUAAAUGUUGAGACUUUGUUCCAAGUGACCUCGGCUCAUUCCCUGUGGAAGGAGGAAAAGUCUCCAGCCUCAAGAUGUAUCUUCAUUUGGGGGAAGGCCUGCCUGGGAGGGGGGAGGGGGGAAAAUUGUACUUUCUAUCCCUUGUCAUCUUUGGAAAACCCUGGCUCCAUAUAUUCCAACGGCCACAAACAGAAGGGGAAACCAAGGACUCUUUCAACUCCCUCCCCUUCCUUCCUGCCCUACCGUUUCCCCCAAAUACCACCUUUGGGGUUCUCAAAAACAUUGCCCUGCUCUUUCUACUAGUCCCUCUUCAGAAAUCUCUCCCAUUUUUCGAUAUAACCGAUUUCCUCCUUAGAAAUUACAUAGUUAACCACCUGUUUUCAUGAGGAAAAGAGGGUCCGAUUUUGUGUUUGGGGGAGGAUUAUUAACACGAGUGGGUAGAACGAAGAUAAUCCCCCUUGUGAUUUUCCGUAUACCACACCUUUACAUAAAAGUUUUCUAAGUCCCUUUCAUUUUGCAGUUGACCUUUGCCACAGGAAUGGUUUAAGUUGUUUACUAGCGGGAGCUAAUGCCACCAGAAAAACUGCAGGUGGUGUAAACUCUAGUGUGAGCUGAUGGGAUGGGUCCCCAGUGGGCGUGGAGUUAUUUGCAUAUUUAAAAAAUUUUAUUGAAGUAUAGUUGAUUUACAAUGUUAAUUUCUGCUGUACAGCAAAGUGAAUCAGUUAUACAUAUAUAUUCUUUUUCAUAUUCUUUUCCAUUAUGGUUUAUCACAGGAUAUUGAAUAGCAUUCCCUGUGCUAUACAGUAGGGGCUUGUGGUUUAUCCAUAUUUGCAUAUUUUUUAAAGAGCAAGGCAGUCUAACUUAAAGGUUUUUUUGGCAUCCAGGGACCAUUUAAUGAUCUGGGGGUGGAGUGGGUUGAUUGUUCAACUCACUGCUUAGUUGAUCUGUUAGUUUCUGAGUUAACAUCACUAAGGGAAUUUUUACUCUCUUUUUGAUUUAGGUUUCCUGAGUAGAAUUUGACUAACAAGAACUUUUGCAGCUGGUUAAAGCCUAGGGAAAUGGGCAGAUGUCCUAGGGUGAAGUGUUCAGCCCACCCUGAGAGGGGUAAGGCGGGAGUAGGCUGACAGGCAGCCAUUUCUAGGGAAGGGUCUUGUCCUCCUUUACAAGAAAUUGUCCAUUUUCAAGCAUCUAUUAGGAAGCAUCAAUCUUUCCUCUUCAGUUGUGUUCUAGCUCAGCCUUUCCACUUAGGAUUGAGGGUUUGGCCAGUCCUGCAAGUCAGUGUUUCUAGUAACCUGGCUUAACUGGAGGGGCAAAUGGCUUUCAAUUGGCAAAUAUUCCCAUCUGAGAACAGGAGAGGAGUAGUGUACAUUCUGCCUCACCUAAAGUUUUAUACUUCUGCAUUAAAAUAUUAUUUUCUAGUCAGAUUUCCAACUUAUGACCCAUUGAGCAAAAUAGAAAGUUUUAUUACAUGUUUUUCAAUCCCAUAUUCUCCGUAGAUGGCCUCUAGAUCCUCCUCAAGAUGUGAUAUCAUGUCUCAGUGUACUCAACACCUAAUGUCUCUCAUAUAUGCCCUGAUCAGUUAACUUCUCAUGAAUUCGCAGUACCAUUCUCAUGAUUCAAAAAUAUACAAAAUGUCUGUGUGAAUAACCUUUCUCUGUCCAGUUUCUUUCUCAUUGUUAUUAAUUUCUUGCGUAUUCCUCCAGAGCUUCCUAAUGCAUAGAAAGCAAAUAGGAAUAGAACUGCUAUGGAUCUGGAAGGCUGCAAGUUACUCCAUUUGUAUCUGUUCUGCUGAUCAGGAGGGAUUGGAGGAUGGGGGCAGAUCCCUGGAAGCUUUGAAGAACUUGAAGAGGCUCAAAUCUGGUUAGAGUGUGAGAUGCCUCCCAACUGCAAUUUUAAAAUAUCUGGGAAAGGGAAGACAGGGCACAUGCAGAACAAAUGAUCCCUAAGGCUCCACACUGGAUUGUCUUUUCUCUGUUGCUGAAUCCGAAGAGUAAGACAAAGGGGAAGAAGGAAAGGAAGAAAAGCAAGCAGAAAGAAUGGCGUUAUCAAAUUUAGAACUAUAGGAAUGUGGCUUCUCCUUUUUUGGUGUGUCCCCAAAUUUGACACACACACACCCAGUCAAAUUUAAAAGGACUAAAUUGUUAUGCACCAAGGAAAUCACAAAUAA
ensembl:lncRNA